ensembl:snRNA Gm25730 predicted gene, 25730
ACCCUUACCUGGCACGAGAGACACCUCGAUCACGAAGGCAGUUACCCAGGACAAUGGUUUCUCAUUGCACUCUGGGUGUGUCAGCCCUUGUGAUUUUUCCCAAACGUGCAGAAUGCACUGUAUAAUUUGCAAUAAUGGGAGGCUAUGUUUGUGCUUGUCCUUUAA